rnacentral:rRNA from 1 species
GGGUGCAACCUGCUCAGUGGCUUGGAAAUAAAUAAAAUAAAUACAGUUAAAUAGCCGCGGUAACUCUGACCGUGAUAAAGUAGCAUAAUCACUUGUCACUUAAUUAGUGAAUGGAAUGAAUGGUUAAACGAAUUUCUACACUUGUCUCAAUAAGAAAUCCUAUAAAAUUCGGAAUUCAUAGUGAAGAUACUAUACAAAGAUUGCAAGACGAAAAGACCCUAUUGAGCUUUACUGAAUGCUUUUAGAAACCUAAAGAGAAUAAGAAACUAUAUCUUUAUACUACUGCAAGCAAGACAGUUUGGUUGGGGCGACCACCUCUAAAAAAGUAACAGAGGAGAUCUAAAGGUUAUUAUUAUGAAUAUAAACCUCACUGAAAUAGUUAUAACUUUAACAGAUAUAAAAUCGUAGGACAUAAUGACCCGUUAUAUAAAAGCUAAAAAUAUAACGACUACAAAAAAAGUUACCAUAGGGAUAACAGGGUAAUAUUUUCUAAGAGUUCUAAUCGACGAAAAUGUUUGCCACCUCGAUGUUGAAUUGUGAUAUCCAUAGGGGUGCAGCAGCUCCUAAAGGGUUGGUCUGUUCGACCCAGCUUAAAAUCUUACAUGUUU